UCCGAGUUGACCCCGGCAGUCUCCUAUGAGUCCCCGCCAUCACGCGCUGGCAACAUAGAACGAGGGUUGCGCUCGUUGCGGGACUUAACCCAACAUCUCACGACACGAGCUGACGACAACCAUGCACCACCUGUAUACCGACCUUGCGGGGCACCUGUCUCCAGAUGUUUCCGGUAUAUGUCAAGCCUUGGUAAGGUUCUUCGCGUUGCAUCGAAUUAAUCCACAUGCUCCGCCGCUUGUGCGGGCCCCCGUCAAUUCCUUUGAGUUUUAGCCUUGCGGCCGUACUCCCCAGGCGGGGAACUUAAUGCGUUAGCUGCGGCACGGACCUCGUGGAAUGAGACCCACACCUAGUUCCCAACGUUUACGGCAUGGACUAC
rnacentral:misc_RNA from 1 species